rnacentral:lncRNA from 1 species
GAAGCUGGACGACGGCAGCAACUACUCAGGCGACUUCAACAACAUUCAGGGGAGCUCGGGAAAUGGCGAAGAGGCCAGGGCGACUGGCGCGAACGGCUAGGACGCGCGAACAGCGCGCGAGCUGGACGGCGGGCGCGGGAGCUCGCGGGUGGACGGACGGCGGGCAAGCGGCGGCGAUCGGAGACGGGCGGAGCUGCUCUGGUUCGCUGGUCUGCUGGGUUUUUUUUUU